rnacentral:sRNA from 1 species
UUAAAUUACACUCUUUCGAACUAGCCAAAUAUUUAUUUGUCUAACUUGCUGCAGAUGUGCGGAGACGUGUCGUUGGGCAGCUAUUCGGUCAGCAGCUUUCAACAUUGUGGUCAAAGGUCGUGAAGGUUGGGCGGGACAGGCGAGCAGUAGUUGCGGCACAACGUUGCCGCUGACCUCGCCCGCAUCAUCAACAGCUGUUAAAGCGUGGCCAGGGGCCAGCUCCUGGCAUCAGGCGAUCGAUGAUCGCAUCGCGGAACAGCAGCUGCAAUCCCAGUGUGCGCACUCUGCAGAUCCAUCUGUGCACUGAGAGAAACGCAUGCUUGCACCUCAAAAUGCUGCAGUUGUUGCGACUUGUGCUCGGCCAGCUAUGUGAGCCACUUUUUCACAGCUGUUCAGGGCAUCAUUUUCUAUGUCCAGCUACCUUUAAGGUUCUUGUCGAUACGCACGCUCCGGGAGCUCGUGAACAGGAACCUUCGCGAUAUAUUGAAUCCUCAGCUUCAAGAUGCGACAGCGCUUUACACUAUUUCGGCCAGUAAAUGGCAUCAGCAGCAAUUGAGCAAUGCUAGAGCCCAGUAACUUGCACGGGGUGCAAGCGCCUUGUUUAUCUCCAAGUAAAUGGCCACACGAGACUACAAACGACUG